rnacentral:rRNA from 1 species
UACGGGGGGGGCAAGCGUUGUUCGGAAUUACUGGGCGUAAAGGGCGCGUAGGCGGCUUAACAAGUCACUUGUGAAAUCUCCGGGCUUAACUCGGAACGGCCAAGUGAAACUGUCAAGCUAGAGUGCGGAAGGGGCAAUCGGAAUUCUUGGUGUAGCGGUGAAAUGCGUAGAUAUCAAGAGGAACACCUGAGGUGAAGACGGGUUGCUGGGCUGACACUGACGCUGAGGCGCGAAAGCCAGGGGAGCAAACGGG